rnacentral:rRNA from 1 species
UACGAAGGGGGCUAGCGUUGUUCGGAAUCACUGGGCGUAAAGCGCACGCAGGCGGAUUGAUAAGUCAGGGGUGAAAUCCCGGAGCUCAACUUCGGAAUUGCCUUUGAUACUGUCUGUCUUCGAGUUCGGGAGAGGUUGGCGGAAUUCCUAGUGUAGAGGUGAAAUUCGUAGAUAUUAGGAAGAACACCAGUGGCGAAGGCGGCCAACUGGCCCGACACUGACGCUCAUGUGCGAAAGCGUGGGGAGCAAACAGG